rnacentral:lncRNA from 1 species
UGAAGAUCAGGCCAACCCACAUCCAUAAUCUUUGGGUUAAGCUUGGUAAGGUCAUACCUCUUUUCAGAAAGGUUUAGUACCAGGUAAUUAUUCCCAUGUUUGGAUUUGAGCAUUCGUGUUACAUCUUGUAGAUUGUGGAGGUACGUUUCCUCAGAACAGUCAGCAGGGAAGGACACAGCAAUGAUCCGUUCUGUGAUGUAAGUG